rnacentral:rRNA from 1 species
GACGAACGCUGGCGGCGUGCUUAACACAUGCAAGUCGAACGGAAAGGCCCUGCUUGCAGGGUACUCGAGUGGCGAACGGGUGAGUAACACGUGGGUGAUCUGCCCUGCACUUCGGGAUAAGCUUGAGCAACUGGGUCUAAUACCGGAUAGGAGACAUCUUGAGUGUGGUGGUUGGAAAGUUUUUUCGGUGUAUGAUGAGCUCGCUGCCUAUCAGCUUGUUGGUGGGGUAAUGGCCUACCAAGGCGGAGACGGGUAGCCGGCCUGAGAGGGUGUACCGCCACAUUCAGACUGAGACACAGCCCAGACUAGUACGGGAGGCAGCAGUGGGAAAUAUUGCACAAUGAGAGCAAGCCUGAUGUAGCGACGCCGAGUGGGAGAUGAAGGCCUUCGGGUUGUAAAAUCCCUUGGCUAGGGAAGAAGCUUUGUUGUGACGGUACUUAGAUAAGAAGCACCGGGUAACUAAGUG